GGGGGCGUCACGGUUUCGACGGGAACGGUGACCCCGAAAGACGCAGGUCGAGCGUGCUACCGGCUCGUAAAUCCGGUGGAAAAACACAACUGCCAACGACAACUUGGCAUUGGCUGCCUAACUAAACCCUAGGCAACCCGCUCUCCCGGGGCCCCGCCCACGGGAUCUGGAGAGAGCGUCAUAAAGGUGGGCUGGUCCGGCGCCUUCGGUCCGGAGGUAACGGGCGAGAUCAAUCGGACUAGCCGCGGGCGGUUUGGUCCCGCCUUCACGCUCGCGGCGAAAUUUCAGGCGGGACUAAACCUGUAGGGUCUUUCGCAGGCGCGCUUCCGGACGCGGGUUCGACUCCCGCCGCCUCCACCA
rnacentral:tmRNA from 1 species